AUUGAACGCUGGCGGCAGGCCUAACACAUGCAAGUCGAGCGGAUGAAGGGAGCUUGCUCCUGGAUUCAGCGGCGGACGGGUGAGUAAUGCCUAGGAAUCUGCCUGGUAGUGGGGGAUAACGUCCGGAAACCGGCGCUAAUACCGCAUACGUCCUGAGGGAGAAAGUGGGGGAUCUUCGGACCUCACGCUAUCAGAUGAGCCUAGGUCGGAUUAGCUAGUUGGUGGGGUAAAGGCCUACCAAGGCGACGAUCCGUAACUGGUCUGAGAGGAUGAUCAGUCACACUGGAACUGAGACACGGUCCAGACUCCUACGGGAGGCAGCAGUGGGGAAUAUUGGACAAUGGGCGAAAGCCUGAUCCAGCCAUGCCGCGUGUGUGAAGAAGGUCUUCGGAUUGUAAAGCACUUUAAGUUGGGAGGAAGGGCAGUAAGUUAAUACCUUGCUGUUUUGACGUUACCAACAGAAUAAGCACCGGCUAACUUCGUG
rnacentral:rRNA from 1 species